rnacentral:snRNA from 1 species
GUGCUCACUUUGGCAGCACAUAUACUAAAAUUGGGAUGAUACAGAGAAGACUGGCAUGGCCCCUGGGCAAGGAUGGCACACAAAUUCAUGAAGCAUUCCAUGUUUUU